AAAUUCUCUGUGUUGGGGCCCACACCCCAACUCGCAUUGCCUGUAGAAUUUCUUUUCGAAAUUCUCUGUGUUGGGGCCCACACCCCAACUCGCAUUGCCUGUAGAAUUUCUUUUCGAAAUUCUCUGUGUUGGGGCCCCUGACUAGAGUUGAAAAAAGCUUGUUGCAAGCGCAUUUUCAUUCAGUCAACUACUAGCAAUAUAAUAUUAUAGACCCUAGGACAUUGAUUUAU
rnacentral:ncRNA from 1 species